rnacentral:misc_RNA from 1 species
ACCCUUGUGGAGGAGGACGCCGAAGGUGGGGCUAAUGACUGGGGUGAAGUCGUAACAAGGUAGCCGUACCGGAAGGUGCGGCUGGAUCACCUCCUAACAGGGAGACAACAAAAUGUUUAAUAUUAUUUUGUCACCUUAGGUCGAUCGGUAUCUCACAUCCUUAAAUUUUUGAGGAUUUUAUUUCCUAAGUUUUUUCUAGGUCACACCCAUUAUUUUUCCUGGGCCAUUAGCUCAGGUGGUUAGAGCGCACCCCUGAUAAGGGUGAGGUCCCUGGUUCAAGUCCAGGAUGGCCCAUAUCUCUAUGUUGGGGGUAUAGCUCAGUUGGUAGAGCGCCUGCUUUGCAAGCAGGAUGUCAGCGGUUCGAGUCCGCUUACCUCCACUGAUCACCACCUCUUUCAUAUUUUGAAGAAAGGAAAUGUUUUGAGUUGUGAUCAAAUUCUGAACGAAUCUAGCUUCCUAAUGAGCAUCAUUAAGAUGCUGGACUCAUUGAAUUAAUUUCAUUGUUUUCAGAGAACCUUGACAACUGCAUAGAUUAUUUUUAAAGACAAUAAGCAUCUUUAAUGAUGCAGAUUUAUUAUUUGUGCAAAUGCAUUAAUAACAAUUCUAUUAAGCUGAUGCUUCAAUUUUGAAGUUAUUGGUCAAGCUACAAAGGGCUCACGGAGGAUACCUAGGCACACAGA